AACGAACGCUGGCGGCAGGCCUAACACAUGCAAGUCGAGCGAGGACUUCGGUUCUAGCGGCGGACGGGUGAGUAACGCGUGGGAAUGUGCCCUUCUCUACGGAAUAGCCCUGGGAAACUGGGAGUAAUACCGUAUACGCCCUAUUGGGGAAAGAUUUAUCGGAGAAGGAUCAGCCCGCGUUGGAUUAGGUAGUUGGUGGGGUAAUGGCCUACCAAGCCGACGAUCCAUAGCAGGUUUGAGAGGAUGAUCAGCCACACUGGGACUGAGACACGGCCCAGACUCCUACGGGAGGCAGCAGUGGGGAAUCUUAGACAAUGGGGGCAACCCUGAUCUAGCCAUGCCGCGUGAGUGAUGAAGGCCUUAGGGUUGUAAAGCUCUUUCAGCUGGGAAGAUAAUGACGGUACCAGCAGAAGAAGCCCCGGCUAACUCCGUG
rnacentral:rRNA from 1 species